AACGAACGCUGGCGACAGGCCUAACACAUGCAAGUCGAACGCUCUAGCAAUAGAGAGUGGCAGACGGGUGAGUAACGCGUGGGAACCUUCCCAAUGGUGCAGAAUAGCCCAGGGAAACUUGGGGUAAUACUGCAUAAGCCCUUCGGGGGAAAGAUUUAUCGCCAUUGGAUGGGCCCGCGUCGGAUUAGCUAGUUGGUGAGGUAAUGGCUCACCAAGGCAACGAUCCGUAGCUGGUUUGAGAGAAUGACCAGCCACACUGGGACUGAGACACGGCCCAGACUCCUACGGGAGGCAGCAGUGGGGAAUCUUGGACAAUGGGCGCAAGCCUAAUCCAGCCAUGCCGCGUGAGUGACGAAGGCCUUAGGGUUGUAAAGCUCUUUUGCCGGGGACGAUAAUGACGGUACCCGGAGAAUAAGUCCCGGCUAACUUCGUGCCAGCCGCCGCAGUAA
rnacentral:rRNA from 1 species